UAAAAAAAGCAUAUGUAAAGAAAACUGUUCCUGUGUCUGUGUAGGGUACUAGCUGUCACUCAACACUGAACAUAGGAUAUUUCUUGAUUUCUUUAAGAGCAUCACUGAUGAGGGUUCCUAUAGCAAGAUGGAGCUAUGUGUCCAAUUAACUAUCCCAUAAGUGAUUUAAGCUGUAUAUUAAAAUAUAUAUAUAAAAACAAUUUGUAUGUAUUUGACUCCCCACUACCCAUUGAUUUAGAGACCCUCUGUGUUCUGCUCUUUAUCUGUAAUGAUCAGGUUUGUUGGGUCGUAUCUGUUGACAAAUGCCAGUGCCAUAAAACCUGACUUUAAAGGUCCUGUGUGUUGGAUUUAAUGGAAUCUAGCAGUGUGGUUGCAGAUUACAACACCCUCGCCUCACUCGCCACCAAGCUUGCAACAAACACAAAAGGCACUGUCUAGAGCGAGUGUUUGGUUUGUCUGUUCUGGGCUACUGUAGAAACAUGGUGGUUUAACAGAGCUCCCUCUGUAGAUAAAAACGGCUCAUUCUUAUUUUCAUAUGAUUGUAUACUACUGAAAACAUUCCUAUGAAUGUUAUAAUCAGUUUCUGCCAUUAUAUCCUCCCAAAUGUUACUGGACCUUUAAUAAAGAACCUACUUGCCUUCAAGUUACCUGCUCAGUCUAUGGUAUUUCAAGGCCUACAGCAUCGGGGUAAAAAACCAUGACACUUGGCUAUAUGCGAUGUAAUUUUUCCUGUGGUUUAGAUGUGCAGAAAGUUUUAAAUUGCAGCCCAAAGUCUUCAAACAAGUCAUAUCAAUCACCUGGACAAUUGUGCAACACUGAAUGUUGAUAUCCAGGAUGUGUCUCAGUCAUCAAAAGCUGGACACGAUUUACACACGAUUUACUGCAGAUGGAAAACCAAUGGACAGAAAAAGAAUGUUGAGCUGAGAGCAGCAAUUCAGCAACAAUUUGGUUCUUUCUUUUUUUUUGGUUCCAUCUUUUCCAAUAUAAGGAUUUGCUGCUUUUUUCUGGUUUAUAUCAUUGUAAACUGAAGAUCUCUUUGUUUGGACUGUUGGUUGGACAAAACAAGGUAUUUUAAGACACCGCCCUUGGACCCCAGAGUCUGGAAUCACAGCGGCCAAGUGGUCGAAGAUGCGUCUCCCAUUGCCCUCAUAUUUCCAGUCUGAUCUGUGACCUAUCAAGAAAAUUCAAAAUGCCUAAAAAAUAAUUUUAAAAAAAGUCUCAAGGAGUCACAGGCAAGGUCGGGUCACUCAGAUGUGAUUUCAUUUCCACUACAGCCAGACCAGUAAUGUGAUAGUAAUGAAGAUGAUAAUUUACAUGUGGGAACUUAAAGCAUUCUUGUGCACGCUCUGAACCAGCCAAUUUACCAGUAACAAAGAAUCCAGUGCAUUGUUCCCAUAUCCUGCAAGCCAGAAUAACAUCACACCCUGCUGCAAUCCCCCUUUCCUCUCUGUCUCUUCUCCUUUCUCUCUCUCUUAUCUGCCGGGGAAAUGAAGCUCAAUCACCUGCGGAGGAGCUGAGGGCGGCACGGGGGACUUUGCAAUGCAAAUGCCAGAGUCUCUGCUGUAUCCUGUGAUGAAGGAAGGAUCUACUUUUAAUUCAGAAGAAUAUCGGCGAUCAAAUUUUUCUACAAAGUUCUGAUGAUGUCGUAAACAGCAACAGCAGGCAGAGAUGGAGGAAGUAGCAAGGCCACUAAAUAAAGCCCUGCAUUCAAAUUUUAAUUUAUAAAGGGCAGAAGUAUUGGCAACAAAAUGUAUUCAUUGUGCAGAAUUGCCACUGUCACUGUUACAGUAUUGAUGCAUUAAAAUAUAUACAAUAAUUUGUAGUAUGGUCAAGGUGGAACAACUUUAACUGCUUUACUUACUGUUGCAUAGAUUAAGCUAUAAUAAUGUGAUGUAUUUUAACUGAUGAUAUGUUUUGUAUGUAAAAUUUUAUUCUGAAAAGUUAAAUAGUGACUGGAGUGAGAGUAAAAUUUUUUCCUCUGACAUGUAGUGGAGUAAAAGUACAAAGUCGCAUGAGAUGAAAAUGCAAAGAACUGUACAAGUACAAGGUUGUAUUCAUUGUAUGUAUUCAUAUCUUUUAAAUAUGACCUACAAUGUUACAAUCAUUUGAAACUGUAUUAGUUGUACAAAUAUAUGCUGCAAUUUCUUUUCUUUCUCACUUUUCUCUUCUUAUCCUUCCAAUUCAUUAUCUUCUUUGCACAAUAGUUGUCGCAUUUUUAUACAUUUUACAAUGACAGGUGGAUCAUAGGACGCUGUAAGCAGAGGGAGAGGACAGAGAUAGGUAAGAGAAAACAAGAGGUGAUUCAAGUGCGCUGAGUGCGGCUAUAUAACGUCAGUCCACUUCCUCUUCCUCCCACUCUGGCAUUCCACCCGUGCUAAGAGUGGCUGGGCUAAGCCACUCUUGCCCUACAUACAGCCUAAACAGCAGAUUACUGACUGUCCCUCUAAUCCCAUGCACCAGGGCAUGUGCCACUGUCACCAUGCACCAACCACCCAAUCACCCUGCAGCCACCGUCACCAUGCCUGCUGUUCUGCUAGCUGUGUAGCCCCCAACCCAAUCCCCUAGCAUCUCCUCUGUUUCUGCUUUCGUUCAGUCAUUUUGGAUUUUUGGUUUAAUUUCUAUCCGAAUAAAGCACGCUGGAA